rnacentral:rRNA from 1 species
UGGGGAAUUUUGGACAAUGGGGGCAACCCUGAUCCAGCAACGCCGCGUGAGGGAUGAAGGUCUUCGGAUUGUAAACCUCUUUUGCAGGGGAAGAAACGCCUGGUGAAGAACCAGGUUUGACGGUACUCUGCGAAUAAGCCACGGCUAACUACGUGCCAGCAGCCGCGGUAAUACGUAGGUGGCAAGCGUUACUCGGAAUUACUAGGCGUAAAGCGCAGGUAGGUGGUUAGGUAAGUCCGUCAUGAAAUCUCCCGGCUUAACUGGGAGGGGUUGAGGGAUACUGCCCGACUCGAGUGUGGGAGAGGUAACUGGAAUUCCAGGUGUAGCGGUGAAAUGCGUAGAUAUCUGGAGGAACACCAAUGGCGAAAGCAGGUUACUGGCCCAAUACUGACACUGAGCUGCGAAAGCUAGGGGAGCAAACAGG